UCUCCGUUGGUGAACCAGCGGAGGGAUCAUUACUGGAAUCGCAAGAUCCCACAACCCCUGUGAACCUACCGAAACGUUGCCUCGGCGGGCGCCCGGCCCCGCGCCGGGCGCUGAGCCCGCCGGCGGCCCCCUACUCUUGUCUCUGCAGCGUAGCAUCUCAGAGUCCCAGAAAACAAGUAAAAACUUUCAACAACGGAUCUCUUGGCUCUA
rnacentral:misc_RNA from 1 species